rnacentral:rRNA from 1 species
GACGAACGCUGGCGGCGUGCUUAACACAUGCAAGUCGAACGAUGAAGCCGGAGCUUGCUCCGGUGGAUUAGUGGCGAACGGGUGAGUAACACGUGAGCAAUCUGCCCUUGACUCUGGGAUAACUGCGGGAAACUGUAGCUAAUACCGGAUACGACACCUUGGGGCAUCCCAGGGUGUGGAAAGAAUUUCGGUCAAGGAUGAGCUCGCGGCCUAUCAGCUAGUUGGUGAGGUAAUGGCUCACCAAGGCGACGACGGGUAGCCGGCCUGAGAGGGUGACCGGCCACACUGGAACUGAGACACGGUCCAGACUCCUACGGGGGGCAGCAGUGGGGAAUAUUGCACAAUGGGCGAAAGACUGAUGCAGCAACGCCGCGUGAGGGAUGAAGGCCUUCGGGUUGUAAACCUCUUUUAGCAGGGAAGAAGCGAAAGUGACGGUACCUGCAGAAAAAGCACCGGCUAACUACGUGCCAGCCGCCGCAGUAA